rnacentral:lncRNA from 1 species
GCCGUUUGGAGCCCUGCAGCUUCCUAAACCCGAGUGGGCCUCUCUCUCCCUAUCUCUUGCCUCACUCCACAGUCUGAUUCCCACCAAUCAUUCCCGUUUCAAAGACCCAGAACAUUGGAAUUAGACUGUGUUAGAAAUCACAGGGCACAACUGAGGCCCAGAGAAGGGAAGGAAUUUAUGGAGUUAGCUGGUGUGAGACUAAAAACCUCAUGUAGAGAAGACGGAUGGCUUUAUGAUCCACCCCCUAAAUCUCUGGGAGGUUUGGGUAAUCCUGGACAAAGCCUUUGGAGUUGGCACCAGAGAAGGAGGGGCCUGAAGUUCCUUCUCUUUUUUAAGCAUAGCAAGUGAGAGAAUUGGGCAGGCGAACAUACGCAGAGAGAGACAAGCAGAAACCGAGGGAGAGUGGCCACCACCCCUCGUGGGGGUCUUCCCAGCUCUCCAGGCAGUUUUUUUGGCCCCUCAGCCUUCCCACACCUUGUUCUUCACUCUGUUACAAGGGUCACUCUGCUGCAUUGUGAUGAACCAUUUACACCUGUGUCACCGAUUCAACCACGAAUUCCAAAGAAUGGGGCCUUGCUCCAAGUUAGUGGCUGCUGGAGUCUGAAUGGAUGCAUGAGUGAGUGAAUAAACGAGAGUAAGGAAAGGAGGGGUUGAUGGUCCUCUCCUAGAUGAAUGAAGCCCGCUUUGUUCACAAUUCUGAAGUUGGCGAAGUUUGUUUCUAGCCCCGCUUCUCCCCCUGGUUCCUUCCUCCUGCCCUCUCCCUGGACCUGAGUUCCCUGAUAGCACUUCUCCCAGAGGCAGCCUCUUGCCCCAUGGAAGACCCUUGACUGGCCCUAUGCCUUCUGGGGUCACUGCUUCCCAAGAUGGCCAGAGGUAAUCACGAGAACUAGUCAGUGUUAAGGGGAAUCCCAGAGUCCACAGAAUUGGUCCGAGCUCUAAUAGGGGCCUUCUAGAGGCCCAACGCACAUGGGUGCUUAAUAAAUGUCUAGAGGAUAAACUAGACACUAUACAUCUGAGGUUCCCAGAUGAGAAACUAGGAUGGAGUGCAAGGGACUGUGUGGCCUGAAGAGUUAGAAUCGGUCUCUUGAUUCUGGCCUUGGAGGAGCCAAG